CAGCUUGGGUUUGUCACCUGCCUUGUGUUCCUUAACCCUUGUUUCUUGGGCCUUGUCCUCCCUUUUCAUCUGGGCUGCCCUCCCCUGGUUCUGGCAGGUUCUGGGGUGUUUCACCUGUUUUUUUUCUAGGAGCACCCCUGGCCUGCUUCCCGUCUGCCUGCUCGGAUGCUGCUGCUGGCUUCCUGCUGUUUUGAGGCCUCUGGUGCUGGAAGAACAGGAAGAAGCCAGCUCCCCACACCUGUGUCCUCUUCCUUCCCCAGGAGAUGUGGGUUCCUUUGUGCUGAAGUUAGUGGAGGGCCUUCAGGGCCAGACAUGGGCCCCAGACUGGGUGGAGGAGCUGCGGGAAGCCGACCGGCAGAAGGAGCAGACCUUUCGGGAGAAGGCAGCGAUGCCUGUGGCUCAGCACCUGAACCCGGUGCGGGUGCUGCAGCUGGUGGAGGAAACGCUACCUGACAACUCAAUUCUGGUGGUGGAUGGCGGGGACUUCGUGGGCACUGCCGCCCAUCUGGUACAGCCCCGCGGCCCCCUGCGCUGGCUCGAUCCUGGUAAGGAAGGGCCCCCGCCUGGGGCAGUGGGCACCAUCCAUCCGGACGCCUUCACACCCACCUGCUCUUGGUCCUCUUAGGGGCCUUUGGGACUCUGGGAGUUGGUGCAGGAUUUGCACUUGGGGCCAAGCUGUGCCGGCCAGAUGCUGAGGUGAGGCACUGGAGUUGGGAGACUUGCUGCUCUCUAGGCCCUGAUCCACCCUAACCAUCCUGGGUCCCCUCCCCACUAGGUCUGGUGCCUGUUUGGGGAUGGAGCUUUUGGCUACAGCCUCAUCGAAUUUGAUACGUUCGUCAGACACAAGAUCCCAGUGAUGGCCUUGGUAGGGAAUGAUGCUGGCUGGACACAGAUUUCUCGGGAGCAGGUGCCCUCUCUGGGCAGCAACGUGGCCUGUGGCCUGGCCUACACUGAUUAUCACAAGGCAGCCAUGGGUCUGGGGGCCCGGGGCUUGCUGCUCUCACGAGAGAACGAGGAUCAGGUGGUCAAGGUGCUGCACGAUGCCCAGCAGCAGUGCCGAGACGGCCACCCGGUUGUGGUCAACAUCCUCAUUGGGAGGACGGACUUCCGCG
rnacentral:sRNA from 1 species